UCCUGUUUAUUAGGCCAUUCAGCAGGUACAGCUGAGACUAGACCAUCCAUUACUAUUGUCUGAGGUACAGAUCAAGGGCAUCACCUUAACUUUUCUUAUAGGAAGUUGGGGCUGAGGGCUGGCAUAGAGCAGAAUGAAGUGAACACUUACUGUAUACAGAGGGCAGUGACACAAGCCGCAGGAAAAAGCAUCACCAACCUGACUGCUGUUUGAACCAGAGGAGCAAAGGAAGGCUCUGAGCCAAGGGACUGCAAGGUCUCUGGUACUUGCAACUCAAGAGCACAUUGCAGUUCAGAUGAGAGCGACUGUGUCUGAUCUUCUAUGAAACCUACUGGGCAGAAGGACGCUUAGAGCAGAGACCCAGGGCUGGUCUCCGAACUCAUACCCAAAGCAGCAGAAGGCACUGCAGAAAUUUCAAGGCUAAGUUCUUCCUGAUUCUCCCAAUGAUUCUGCUGCUGGUUCUCUGGCUAUGCUGUAUUCAUUUCACAAACCAAGAAACCUGCUCCUCUCCAGGAGACCUCCCUGCUCCGCAGAUGUUUCUUGACAAAGCACCCAGUUCCCAAGGGGACACAGUGGUGAUGAGGUGUAAAAUACCUGCACUUUCCCCUUUUACCCAUGUUAUUUUCUGUAAAGAUGGGAAGGAGAUUG